rnacentral:tRNA from 1 species
GCUUCAGUAGUUCAGUGGUAGAACACUAGCUUCCCAAGCUAGGUAUACGGGUUCGAUUCCCGCCUGGAGCUCCA